GACGAACGCUGGCGGCGUGCUUAACACAUGCAAGUCGAACGGAAAGGCCCUGCUUUUGUGGGGUGCUCGAGUGGCGAACGGGUGAGUAACACGUGAGUAACCUGCCCUUGACUUUGGGAUAACUUCAGGAAACUGGGGCUAAUACCGGAUAGGAGCUCCUGCUGCAUGGUGGGGGUUGGAAAGUUUCGGCGGUUGGGGAUGGACUCGCGGCUUAUCAGCUUGUUGGUGGGGUAGUGGCUUACCAAGGCUUUGACGGGUAGCCGGCCUGAGAGGGUGACCGGCCACAUUGGGACUGAGAUACGGACCAGACUCCUACGGGAGGCAGCAGUGGGGAAUAUGGCACAAUGGGCGGAAGCCUGAUGCAGCAACGCCGGGUGCGGGAUGACGGCCUUCGGGUUGUAAACCGCUUUCGCCUGUGACGAAGCGUGAGUGACGGUAAUGGGUAAAGAAGCACCGGCUAACUACGUG
rnacentral:rRNA from 1 species